rnacentral:rRNA from 1 species
AGGGGAAUAGCCCAGGGAAACUUGGAUUAAUACCCCAUAACAUUAUCGAUAGGCAUCUAUUGAUAAUCAAAGCUCCGGCGGACAAGGAUGAGCAUGCGGGACAUUAGUUUGUUGGUGAGGUAAUGGCUCACCAAGACUACGAUGUCUAGGGGUUCUGAGAGGAUUGUCCCCCACACUGGUACUGAGACACGGACCAGACUCCUACGGGAGGCAGCAGUAGGGAAUAUUGGUCAAUGGACGAAAGUCUGAACCAGCCAUGCCGCGUGCAGGAUGAAGGCCCUCUGGGUCGUAAACUGCUUUUAUGUAGGAAGAAACCCCCACCUGCGGGUGGGGCUGACGGUACUACAAGAAUAAGGAUCGGCUAACUCCGUGCCAGCAGCCGCGGUAAUACGGAGGAUCCAAGCGUUGUCCGGAUUUAUUGGGUUUAAAGGGUACGUAGGCGGAUUAAUAAGUCAGUGGUGAAAGCUUGCAGCUUAACUGUGAAAGUGCCAUUGAAACUGUUAGUCUUGAGUAUGGUUGAGGUAGAUGGAACGUAUCAUGUAGCGGUGAAAUGCUUAGAUAUGAUACAGAACACCAAUUGCGAAGGCAGUUUACUAAGCCAUUACUGACGCUGAGGUACGAAAGCGUGGGUAGCGAACAGGAUUAGAUACCCUGGUAGUCCACGCCGUAAACGAUGAUUACUCGAUGUUGGCGAUAUACUGUCAGUGUCCAAGCGAAAGCGUUAAGUAAUCCACCUGGGGAGUACGUCGGCAACGAUGAAACUCAAAGGAAUUGACGGGGGCCCGCACAAGCGGAGGAGCAUGUGGUUUAAUUCGAUGAUACGCGAGGAACCUUACCUGGACUUAAAUGUUAGUGACCGUUGCCGAAAGGUGACUUUUCUUCGGAACACGAAGCAAGGUGCUGCAUGGCUGUCGUCAGCUCGUGCCGUGAGGUGUUGGGUUAAGUCCCGCAACGAGCGCAACCCCUAUCUUUAGUUGCCAUCAGGUUAUGCUGGGGACUCUAAAGAGACUGCCUAUGCAAAUAGUGAGGAAGGUGGGGACGACGUCAAGUCAUCAUGGCCCUUACGUCCAGGGCUACACACGUGCUACAAUGGCAAGUACAAUGAGCAGCCAUCUCGUGAGAGAGAGCGAAUCUCAAAAAGCUUGUCUCAGUUCGGAUUGGAGUCUGCAACUCGACUCCAUGAAGGCGGAUUCGCUAGUAAUCGCAUAUCAGCAAUGAUGCGGUGAAUACGUUCCCGGGCCUUGU